AAGUCGUAACAAGGUUUCCGUAGGUGAACCUGCGGAAGGAUCAUUAUUGAAUAACUUGGUGUUGAGCUGGCCCGUUAGGGCAUGUGCUUGCAUCAUAUUAUUUACUUAUCUCUUGUGCACCUCUUGUAGUCUUUGAAGUGUCGCAGUCAAUGCGGUUUGGGGUUUGGACUAGUCCUUUCUCUGCUUGCUUCAGAGGCUAUGUUUUUAUACACACUAUUGAAGUUACAGAAUGUCUCUUAUUGACUUUCAGUCAGUAAAUCUAUACAACUUUCAGCAACGGAUCUCUUGGCUCUC
rnacentral:misc_RNA from 1 species